rnacentral:misc_RNA from 1 species
UGGACGACCUGCUCCCUNCCUGAGAUGAGCCCCGGUAUGUAUUUUAUAUACUUGCCUGUAUUUUAUGANAAAGAAGCUAUAGAAGUCAAAGUAAAUUUUUUUUUUAACCUUUAAAAAAAAUAAAUCCUUAGAAAGUGUUUGGUAUUAUACAGUUUCAUAUUAAAUUAAACGUUGUUAAUAGUAAACAUAAUUUUGGAUUUUGAGUUGAAAGUUUUUUAUAUUGCUAAAUAUGUAUUUUACCUCUAAUAUAACGGCGCUUUCGGUUUUUAAAAUUGAAAUUGCCUUGUAAAUAUACCCUAACAUCGAAAUUGACUAGAUGUUUAUUGUUAUUAUUCAUUAUAGUUCAAAGUAAAUGUAGGACUUGGAAAAAUGGAAUACAUUGCGACCAGGAUGAGAUGAUCUUCCUACCACACGACUAUCAAACAC